rnacentral:sRNA from 1 species
CAGUAAUAUUAUGACAAGGAGUGAUGGGUGGACGAUGAUUAACUAAUCUUAUUUUUUUAGUUUGAAAUCGGAUAUUUCAAAUGACACAAAAUAGGAUUAGUCUGCCCACUUUUAUAACUCUUUAGCUAUUUUACAGUAGCUUAUUUGUCUAUGUAUCGGUACGGCUAAUCCUUCCAAUUAAUUUGGGAGGAUUUUUUU